rnacentral:rRNA from 1 species
CCUACGGGUGACAGCAGUGAGGAAUAUUGGUCAAUGGACGAGAGUCUGAACCAGCCAAGUAGCGUGAAGGAUGACUGCCCUAUGGGUUGUAAACUUCUUUUAUAAAGGAAUAAAACGAGGCACGUGUGCCUUCUUCCAUGUACUUUAUGAAUAAGGAUCGGCUAACUCCGUGCCAGCAGCCGCGGUAAUACGGUGGAUCCGAGCGUUAUCCGGAUUUAUUGGGUUUAAAGGGAGCGUAGAUGGGUUGUUAAGUCAGUUGUGAAAGUUUGCGGCUCAACCGUAAAAUUGCAAUUGAUACUGGCAGUCUUGAGUACAGUAGAGGGAGGCAGAAUUCGUGGUGUAGCGGUGAAAUGCAUAGAUAUCACACAGAACACCGAUUGCGAAGGCAUCUCACGAAUCCACGAUUGACGCUGAUGCACGAAAGCGUGGGUAUCAAACAGGAUUAGAUACCCUUGUAGUC